GGGGAAUCAGGGUUCGAUUCCGGAGAGGGAGCCUGAGAAACGGCUACCACAUCCAAGGAAGGCAACAGGCGCGCAAAUUACCCAAUCUAGACAGUAGGAGGUGGUGAAGAGAAUUACUAAGUGGUGGUCUAAUAGAUCACUUGUUUGGAAUGAACGUAACUUAAGAAAUUCGAUGAGAAACAACUGGAGGGCAAGUCCUGGUGCCAGCAGCCGCGGUAAUUCCAGCUCCAGUAGUUUGCUUUAAAGUUGUUGCGUUUAAAACGCUCGUAGUUGGAUCACGCAGCAGUGCUCAGUAAUCUAGAGCAUGGAGACGCUAAUGGUUCGUCUCUGACGGCCAUUGAGUGAAUUCGGCAAUAGAUGAUUACGCUGGACAUUGCUAGUUGCACGUGAGAUAGAUUGUUGGCCUUGAAUGAGCCGAUAUUCUCGUCUUGCGGGGUGUGCCUUGAAUAAAACAGAGUGCUCAAAGCAGGUUAUUGCCUGAAUGUUAUAGCAUGGAACGAACAAUCGUGUAUAUGUGUACGUUUUUAAACGGCAAUGAGCUUUUGGUUUGUCGCUGUUUAGAAUGUGCACGGCACCCACCAAAAUAUGGCUGUUGGUUCCAUAUACGGUGAUGAUUAAAAGGAGCGGUUGGGGGCAUCGGUAUUUGGCCGCGAGAGUUAAUUCUUGGCCGGGCAAAGGCUUACAAACGCAAAGGCGUUGUUCUGGACGGUUCCGUUAUUCAAGAAUGAAAGUGGGAUGGUUCGAAGAGAGCAGAUACCGUCCUCGUUCCCCCCUUAACUAUCCCGACCUGGGAUCAUUUCAGAGAUGUUACGAGCUCUGGAGAGUCCCCCUGGGAGACAUGAAGUUUUUCGGUUACUGGGGAAAGUAUGGUCGCAAGGCUGAAGCUUAAAAGAAAUUGACGGAAUGGGCACUCACCAGUGGGUGGAGCGUGCGGCGUUGCAAUUUGACUCAACACGGGGAAACUUACCUGGUCCGGACAUCGAUAGGAUUAACAGAUCAAUAGGUCUUUUAUGAUACGAUGAGGUGGUGGUGCAUGGCCGUUCUUAGUUCGUGGAGUGAUCUGUCGGCGUAAUCGCGGUAACGAACGAGAGCACAGUCUCCAUUUAAGAGAUAGAAGAAGACAUGUGCAGUUUGGUGAGGUGGCACUGGCUGUUACCUCAUCAGCUGUUGGUUGCAGGAAGGAUGAAGCGCUCAUGUCGGUGGCAGUUUGUGGGGAAACUUGCGCUCUUAUCGGUGUGAGUGUAUCAUUUCUCCCUUCUAUCACGCAUGUAGUCGGUAUCAACUGGCUGCUGCCUUAUGGAGAGACAACGAGGUAGUAUACAAGCUCUUUUUGCGAGGCCCAAGAGUGGUACUAUAACAAGGUCAGUGAUGCCCUUCGAUGUUCAGGGCUGCACGCGCGCUACAAUGAUAACGACAAACGAGUGAAUCUGCUGGUCGAAAGACGUGGGUAAUCUAAUUAAUCGUUAUCGCUUGAUGGGGAUUGACCGUUGUAAUGUAUCGGUCAUGAAACGAGGAAUCCCUAGUAUGCGCAUUUUAUAUAGAAUGUAGCAGAGCCUUUGAGUCCCUGCCCUUUGUACACACCGCCCGUCGCUACUACCGAGUGAAUGGUGUCAUGAUGCGCUGGGACUGGACGAUUGAGAUGGGUCGGUUCGGACCUGUCAGGCGCUGGGCCUACCAGCGUACACAACGGCCGGCCGAACCGA
rnacentral:rRNA from 1 species